rnacentral:rRNA from 1 species
AGUUUAGACUCGUAGCAGAUAGCUCAGUAACACGUGGCAAACUACCCUAUGGAUCCGAAUAACCUCGGGAAACUGAGGCUAAUGCGGAAUAGCGUUCAUCGCCUGGAGUGGCACGAACGCGAAACGUUACGGCGCCAUAGGAUGUGGCUGCGGCCGAUUAGGUAGACGGUGGGGUAACGGCCCACCGUGCCCAUAAUCGGUACGGGUUGUGAGAGCAAGAGCCCGGAGACGGUAUCUGAGACAAGAUACCGGGCCCUACGGGGCGCAGCAGGCGCGAAACCUUUACACUGCACGCGAGUGCGAUAAGGGGACUCCGAGUGCGAGGGCAUAUAGUCCUCGCUUUUCACGACCGUAAGGUGGUCGUAGAAUAAGUGCUGGGCAAGACCGGUGCCAGCCGCCGCGGUAAUACCGGCAGCACGAGUGAUGACCGCUAUUAUUGGGCCUAAAGCGUCCGUAGCUGGCCACGCAAGUCUAUCGGGAAAUCCGCGCGCUUAACGCGCGGGCGUCCGGUGGAAACUGCGUGGCUUGGGACCGGAAGACCAGAGGGGUACGUCCGGGGUAGGAGUGAAAUCCCGUAAUCCUGGACGGACCACCGGUGGCGAAAGCGCCUCUGGAAGACGGAUCCGACGGUGAGGGACGAAAGCUCGGGUCACGAACCGGAUUAGAUACCCGGGUAGUCCGAGCUGUAAACGAUGUCUGCUAGGUGUGGCACAGGCUACGAGCCUGUGCUGUGCCGUAGGGAAGCCGUGAAGCAGACCGCCUGGGAAGUACGUCCGCAAGGAUGAAACUUAAAGGAAUUGGCGGGGGAGCACUACAACCGGAGGAGCCUGCGGUUUUAUUGGACUCAACGCCGGACAUCUCACCAGCAUCG